UUAUUCGAUCGGCGAAAUGUUGGAAACGAAUUUAUGAAUUCUUUUUAAUACACUUACGGGGAGACUCGUCUCGUUGAUACGUCAGUGUCGUCUCGGAGGAUCGUUCCGAUUGGACGGAUUUCAGAUGCAUCCGAAGAUGCGUUUCCACUCUACGUGUUAGUGAUCCGUGCCGCGCGUUCGACUCCUUGAGGCGAGGUCAAGUUUUAACUUUAACGUAUACUUGUUAAUUAAUCAUCGGGAUCGUUGUCGCGACUGCGUGAACUUCGUGUUUGAUGUUAUAUCGAACGAAUUUUCUACGAAUGAGAUACGAGUGGAACACGGCCGAAGAAACGCGCCGGAAAUUCUGUUCGUUUGUCAUCGGUCGGACUCGGAGUUCGUGUCGUGCGACUUGAUCAAGGGUAAGUGUAUGAUAUAUAAGAGACCAACGUCGGAAAGAUUUGCGUUUCCUUGUCGGAAGUAAGUUAAGAUGCCAUUUAUGUGUUCGAAAGUAAGGUACAAACGUAAUUUGCAUAUAUAUUUUAGUGAUACAACAAGGAAUGCUGUAAAUAAACACAGAUAAGAUGCUUUUAUUUGGUUUGCUAAUUUUUUAUUAUUAUUGUUGUUAUUAUUUUAUUUCUUUCUAUUUAACAUGAUAAAACAUCUAUAUCAUAACUCUCGAUUUCAUUAUACGCAUAUUUUCAUAUAUUAUACGCGUAGUCCUAGAGUCAAGUUGCUGUAUUCAAUAAGAAAUGAAUGUAAUAUACAGAAGUCGAAGUCCACAGGUCAGUCCAGUACCAUUACGAUCGUAAUCAAAACAAGAUGGAAUUUUUGAAUGUGUCGAGUCGCGCUUUAUUUGUAUAUACCAGUAUAUGCAUAUAUUACAUACAUACAUACAUACAUUUAUACAAUCUACCUUGCUAGAGUAAAGGCUCGCAUUUAAAGUAAUGGUGUUAUUCAAGAUAUUUCUAGAGCGUAAGCGUGCAUGUGCCAUAUACGUGAGGAAUUUCGACGGAGAAGCUUACAUUAGUAACAUCAGAUGUGUGUAUUCUAUGUAAAUCUAAUACAACGAAUUACAAAGUUGCAAAUAUACAAUCAUAGGCAUUGAAUAGAAUGGUAAAUUAAAUGUUUUCAAUUAGAUACAAUAAGAAAAGCGCGUUGACUUAGAAUGUGACUUUGAAAUCAUUUGGCGUAAAGUUUCGAAUUCAAAUUCCGAGAGAGUGUUGACAAAUAUGGCAAGUAUGUUUGAAAAAAUAAAAAUAAAAGAAAUAUAAAAACAGAGCGAAGGGUGAAAAAAGAAGAG